rnacentral:rRNA from 1 species
UAGAGUUUGAUCAUGGCUCAGGAUGAACGCUAGCGACAGGCUUAACACAUGCAAGUCGAGGGGCAGCGGGGGUGAUGGCUUGCCAUCGCCUGCCGGCGACCGGCGCACGGGUGAGUAACACGUAUGCAACCUGCCCGCCACAGGGGGAUAAGCGGAAGAAAUUCCGUCUAAUACCGCGUGACGCGGCGUCGGGGCAUCCCGGUGCCGCCAAAGGGAUUACCGGUGGCGGAUGGGCAUGCGGCGCAUUAGCUAGUCGGCGGGGUAACGGCCCACCGAGGCGACGAUGCGUAGGGGUUCUGAGAGGAAGGUCCCCCACACUGGUACUGAGACACGGACCAGACUCCUACGGGAGGCAGCAGUGAGGAAUAUUGGUCAAUGGGCGCGAGCCUGAACCAGCCAAGUCGCGUGAGGGAUGACGGUCCUACGGAUUGUAAACCUCUUUUGCCGGGGAGCAAGCGUGCGUUCGUGAACGCGCGUCGAGAGUACCCGGAGAAAAAGCAUCGGCUAACUCCGUGCCAGCAGCCGCGGUAAUACGGAGGAUGCGAGCGUUAUCCGGAUUUAUUGGGUUUAAAGGGUGCGUAGGCGGGAUGCCAAGUCAGCGGUAAAAAAGCGGUGCUCAACGCCGUCGAGCCGUUGAAACUGGCGUUCUUGAGUGGGCGAGAAGUAUGCGGAAUGCGUGGUGUAGCGGUGAAAUGCAUAGAUAUCACGCAGAACUCCGAUUGCGAAGGCAGCAUACCGGCGCCCUACUGACGCUGAGGCACGAAAGCGUGGGUAUCGAACAGGAUUAGAUACCCUGGUAGUCCAC